rnacentral:rRNA from 1 species
AUUGAACGCUGGCGGCAUGCCUAACACAUGCACGUCGAGCGGAGCGGCGGACGGGUGUGUACUGCCUAGGAAUCUGCCUGGUUGUGGGGUAUAACAUCCGGAAACGGGCGCUACUAACUCCUCCUAUCAUAUGAGCAUAGGUCGGAGUAGCUAGUUGGUGGGGUAAAGGCCUACCAAGGAGACGAUGCGUACCUGGUCUGAGAGGAUGAUCAGUAACAGUGGAAAGAAGACACGGUCCAGAAUCCGACGUGAGGCAGCAGUGGAGAAUAUUGGAGAGUGGGCGAAAACCUGUACCAGCCAAGCCGCGUGUGUGAAGAAGGUCUUCGGAUUGUAGAGCACUAUAAGUUGGGAAGCGUUACCAACAGAAUAAGCACCGGCUAACUUCGUGCCAGCAGCCGCGGUAAUUC